GAUGAAGAACGUAGCGAAAUGCGAUACGUAAUGUGAAUUGCAGAAUUCAGUGAAUCAUCGAAUCUUUGAACGCAUAUUGCGCUCUUUGGUAUUCCGAAGAGCAUGCUUGUUUGAGUAUCAGUAAACACCUCAACCUCUUCUUGAUUUUUCAAAAGGAGGGUGGACUUGAGCUAUCCCAACAACCUUUACCGGUCGGCGGGCGGCUUGAAAUGCAGGUGCAGCUGGACUUUUAUCUGAGCUAAAAGCAUAUCUAUUUAGUCCUCGUCAAACAGGAUUAUUACUUUUGCUGCAGCUAACAUAAAGGAUAAUUGUCCUCUUUGCUGACUGAUGCAGGAUUUUACGACACUUUAUGUGUUGUUCAACUCGAUCUCAAAUCAAGUAAGACUACCCGCUGAACUUAAGCAUAUCAAUAAGGGAGGA
rnacentral:misc_RNA from 1 species